GCCGUGAGGUGUUGCCUUAAGUGGCGCAACGAGCGCAACCCCUGUCCUUAGUUGCCAGCGGGUGAUGCCGGGAACUCUAGGGAGACUGCCGGUGCCAAACCGGAGGAAGGUGGGGAUGACGUCAAGUCAUCAUGCCCCUUAUAUCCAGGGCUGCACGCAUGCUACAAUGCGCGAUACAGAGGGUUGCGAUCCCGCAAGGGGGAGCGAAUCCCAAAAAGUCGCGCUCAGUUCGGAUCGAGGUCUGCAACCCGACCUCGUGAAGUCGGAGUCGCUAGUAAUCGCAGAUCAGCAAUGCUGCGGUGAAUACGUUCCCGGGCCUUGUACACACCGCCCGUCACACCACGAAAGUGGGCAACACCCGAAGCCGGUGGCCUAACCCUUGUGGAGGGAGCCGUCGAAGGUGGGGCUCGCGAUUGGGGUGAAGUCGUAACAAGGUAGCCGUACCGGAAGGUGCGGCUGGAUCACCUCCUUUCUAAGGAGCCUUUGGCACUAUCGAGUCGAUCGGCGUUCGUGCCGGUCGCGCACUCGAAGACUCCAGGUCGAUGCACUGGCUUCCCGCUCCCUUUUUCGUCGAUCCUCGGUGCAGUAGCUCCUUUCGGGGGCGAACCACGAGGAGGAACGGCCGCGGGGCGGGACACACUGUUCAGCUUUGAGGGUGCGAGCCCUCCGAGCGCACCUUGAGAACUCGAUAGCGAGCGCGAGCAUCAACAGUCAAGCUAUGAAGGGCUUACGGUGGAUGCCUUGGCGCCAAGAGCCGAUGAAGGACGCGUCAGGCUGCGAAAAGCUUCGGGGAGCUGCCGAGAGAGCUAUGAUCCGAAGGUGU
rnacentral:sRNA from 1 species